rnacentral:tRNA from 1 species
GCGCCCGUAGCUCAGUUGGAUAGAGCAUCUGGCUUCGAACCAGAGGGUCGGGAGUUCGAGUCUUCCCGGGCGCACCA